rnacentral:rRNA from 1 species
AGCUCCAGUAGCGUAUAUUAAAGUUGUUGCAGUUAAAAAGCUCGUAGUUGGAUUUCUGACAUGGCGAGGCUGGCCCGCCACCAUUCGGUGUGUGAGUGCCGGCUCUUGUUUGUCAUCCUUCCGUUGAACGUUUCUGCUCUUCAUUGAGUUGGACUCGGGACGCGGAACAGUUACUGUGAAGAAAUUAGAGUGUUCAAAGCAGGCUCAACGCAACUGAAUACAUUAGCAUGGAAUAACGAUUUAGGACUUUGUUUCUAUUUUGUUGGUUUCUAGGAAUGAAGUAAUGAUUGAUAGGGAUAGUUGGGGGUGCUCGUAUUGGCCGGCCAGAGGUGAAAUUCUUAUAUUCGGUCAAGACGAACUUAUGCGAAAGCAUUCACCAAGGAUGUCUUCUUUAAUCAAG